UGGAUGCUCGCCUGCCACGGCCAUUCUCCGUCCUGGGCAUCCCGGCCCCCCACGAUCCGACUGGACACGCGGGGCUGCCCACAGGCUGCAAAAGGACCAGGGGUGGCGAGAGUUGGCGGAGGACCAGGGGCCUGGGAGGUCGGGAGCUGUGUCUCAUGAAAGCAAUUUAUUUUGAUUGUCAUCAUCUCUGGGGUCUGAAGACGAGGCUUUGGCUAACUUGAGUUUGAUGUCGACUACGGGCAUCGUUGUCUGAAAUUCAGCAGGACUUGGGGUCUUUUCGAGAUGAGAUACUCGUGCUCAGGAGUGAACUCCCUGUGACUUAGCAGCACCUGGUAAGGAACUUACUUCAAAUGGAGCUGGAGGGAGUCCUUUAACCGAUACCUCUGUUAGAAUAUGUGAUCAUUAGGCUGGAGGUGGUGGUACUAGAACUUAUGAUCUGAUUGGAAGCUGUAAACAGAUUUUAUAAUCUCAUGGUCAUUAAUUUUUAUAGCUUUUAUAAGCCUUCAGCAGUAAGUCUAAGUCAGCGGCCUAAUUUAGGAUUUGAUUUGGGGACAAAAAAAACAAAAAACAAAAAAAAACCAGGGAGCUUAAAAACUAAAUACAGGCCUGUAAUCCCAGCACUCUGGGAGGCCAAGGCAGGUGGACCACUUGAGAUCAGGAGACGGAGACCAGCCUAGCCAACAUGGCGAAACCCUACUAAAACACGAAAAUUAGCUGGACGUGGUGGCAGGUGCCUUUAAUCCCAGCUACUUGGGAGGCUGAGGCAGGAGAAUCGCUUGAACCGGAGGUUGCAGUGAGGCGGGAUUGCACCAUUGCACUCCAGCCUGGGCAACAAGAAUGAAAUGCCAUCUCAAAAAAAAAAGAAUUUGUUAAGUUAAGGAGGAAGUAAAGACCCUGAGAGAUCUCUUCAGGUCAUCAGAUCUGUUGAGAAGGGUGAGCAGAUGUCACUAUAAUCUCAGUGAUUUGUUCUAUGAUGAAACUGAAUUGUACCGGGACCAUAUUGCAGUGUAAUGUCACACUGGCAUUGCUGGGAAAAAUUCAACUACCUCGUAUAAAUGUGUCAUGUGAUAAUAGUGAUAUUAUCAAAUGUACUGAGUGGCAGGGUUAAGGCCCCCUUAGGAUGUGAUACUGAUGGAAAAUGAACAGCCUGAGAACUGGAUAGUCAACCACAGGUAAUCUGGACCCUAAAUAUUUCUGUACAAGCUAAUCAUGAGAUAUAAAUAGCUGUCCGGGCCCGGUGGCAUACGCCUGUAAUCUCAGCACUUUGGAAGGUCGAGGCAGGCAGAUGUGAGGUCAGGAGUUUGAGACCAGCCUGAUCAACAAGGUGAAACCCCAUCUCUACUAAAAACACAAAAAUUAGCCAAGCAAGGUGGCCAGCACCUGUAAUCCCAGCUACUCGGGAGGCUGAGGCAGGAUAAUCACUUGAACCUGGGAGGCGGAGAUUGCACUCCAGCCUGGGCGACAGAGAGACUCCAUCUCAAAGAAAAGAGGGAUAGAAAUAGCUGUAGACCAUGGAGGGUGCAGGUCAUGAAACUACUGCAAUUACAUGGCGCUGUGUGUAAUGCUUUAGAGGGAAAAUCCGUUACUUAAAUCUCCCCGCCCCGCACUGGCUGCUCCACAUGUGAGGCAUGUUCCUACUGACAACCAGUGUGUGAUUGUGCAGGCCCAGCUAUAUUUAAUUAUGAGGCUGUACAUGGCAGGGCUUGCGGGGUCGAAGCUGCCCUCCCUGCACCAGGCUAAGCACACAGCCAAUGCAUUGAAGUCUCUAGGGAGCUGGGGUCAAGGAUUCAGGUCCUUUCCUGAUGGGCCAUGCUAUUGUUAUUACUAUUAUUAUUCUGAGACCAAGUGUUGCUCUCGUCGCCCAGGCUGGAGUGCAGUGGCGUGGUCUUGGCUCACAGCAGCCUCUGCCUCCUGGGUUCAAGCGAUUCUCCUGCCUAAGCCUCCCAAGUAGCUGGGAUUACGGGUGCCUGCCACCACAUCUGGCUACUUUUUGUAUUUUUAGUAGAGACAGGGUUUCACUAUGUUGGCCAGGCUGGUCUUGAACUUCUGACCUCUGGUGAUCCACCCACCUCAGCUUCCCAAAGUGCUGGGAUCACAGUUGUCAGCCACCUCACCCGGCCCACCCAUGCUGUUACUUGUAUUCCAAGUCAUGGAUGCUUCGAAAAAUACUAUCCUUUUGCUGUGGGGCCACGGGGUAGCCUUACAGCAGACAGUUAACUCAACAGGCUUGGGAUGUUCAGAUGCUACACAUCCAAACUCUAAGGGAAACUCUAAGAUCUUGAAGGUCUUGCCUAAUAAGAAUGCCUCUGCAUACCUGGCUCCCUGGGUCCCGGCAGACAGCUGGUGCCCACGUGACUGACGGUGGGGCCACGGGCCAUGUAGUAUCACGGGACCUCUGGAGGAGCUGCAUGGCUGACGUUAGUCAGUCAGCCUCAAGCUCCUCCAGGCCAACACCGCCAACCUCCAGUAAAACUGUGCCGCCAAGGCUUAGGCCAUUGUCCCUGGUUGUCACACUUCCGUGCUGGGAGGGUGACGGGUGUGCACAGGCCUCUCCUGGAGCGCUCACCAUGGCCUUCCUCCUGGUGUCUCCUGCACUCUGCCCUGUGCGCCUUUUCGUCUGCCGACUUUAACCUGAGUCCGUUCACUCUCUAAACCCUAAACCCUAACCAAGAGUGUGACGGUUUUCCUGAGUAGCGGGAGCCCUGCAGGUGUUGUGGACCUGGACUCAGAGGUUACCUUGGCUCACUGAAACAUCUCCCACAAGGCGGGAGACCCCGCGGUGGGCUCCAGGUAGCUGUAUGGGGCCCCCUGUGGGGCAGGGGGCAGGGAGUAGGGCUGAGAGCCCCGGGCUGUGACAUUCUGUGGAUCUGUACAGGAUGGGCACUUCCACGCUGCCAGGCCCCACGCAGCCCUCAGGAAGUCCUUACCUGCCUGCUUUAAGGGGGCUCCCGGCUCAGGGCUAGGCCCUUGGUGCUGGAGGAGGUCAUGGGUGGAGGACAGGGGGCACCAAGUGGCAGUCAGGACCCCACAGCCUACAGACAAGAAAGGGACUGUGGGGUCCACGGGGUCUGGGCCACAUCAAGGAGUGUGGUUGAGGACCCACCCCGAGGAGCUGAAAGUCAGGGCGCUGCCAGGCAUGAGGGUCCUCAACAGCCCUUGGGGCCCAGGGCCGGUGAAGCUAGAGGGAGGGGGCAGAGCUCCGCCCCCGCCCCCAGGGGGCGCCCCGGGCCCAGCGCGGGAGGAGGCAGAGGGGGCGCCAGGCAGCGGGAGAGGAGGCCAUGGGCGCGCGCGGGGCGUUGUUGCUGACGCUGCUGCUGGCGCUGGGCGGACUCGGGAAGCCCGAGUCGCAGCAGGCGAAGCUGUUGUCAGAGCCCUGCGGCCACCGGGAAAUGCACUCGCUGGUAGCGGGUGGAGUGGAAUCCGCGCGCGGGCGCUGGCCGUGGCAGGCCAGCCUGCGCCUGCGGAGGCGCCACCGCUGUGGAGGGAGCCUGCUCAGCCGCCGCUGGGUGCUCUCGGCGGCGCACUGCUUCCGAAACCACUAUUAUCCCUCCGAGUGGACGGUCCAGUUGGGCGAGCUGACUUCCAGGCCGCCUUUCUGGAACCUGCGGACUCGCAGAAAUCGUUACAAAGUGCGGGACAUCGUUGUGAACCCUGGCGCCUUUGGGGUCAUACACAAUGACAUCGCCCUGCUGAGACUGGCCUCCUCUGUCGCCUACAAUGCGCACGUCCAGCCCGUUUGCGUCGAGUCCUCCACCUUCAUGUUCCUGCACCGGCGGGACUGCUGGGUGACCGGCUGGGGCUUCAUCGGCUCCAACGGUAGUGAGGCUGGGAGUAGACCGGCGGGGCAUGGGGUGCGGGGUGGGCAUUGCCCUCUACCCUGUCCCCGAUACACAGACACAGCACGCUUCCUGCUUGGUCUGGGCGUGCAGCCUGAGCCUCUCCUGCUCGCGUUGUCUCCUCACUUCUCUGCUCUCACUGCCACCUGCUAGCGCAGGGACCAGACACUCAGUUCUCGCCCUUCCAGGGAUUUUGGGGGCCAGGAGGACGGUGUGAGAGGUAGGCCAGCUUGGCCCAGGGCCUGCAGGAGUGACGGGGAGUGAGGGAGGCCCUGGCGACAGAAGCCUCAGGUGAUGAUUUUUUAAAAUGAGACAACUCACAAACCAUAAAAUUUUCAAGUGUUCAGCGUUAAAGGACACGAUUCAGUGAUUUUUUAGCCUACAGUCCUGUGUCACUUCACAACCGGGAUGUAUUCUGAGACACACGUCAUGAGACAUUUUCAUCAUUGUGUCAACGUCAGAGUAGAGUACAGUCACACAGCCCAGGACGGCAGAGUCCACUCUGCGAAGUCUGGUGCAGCCCAGUACUCCUGGGCUACACGCCUGUGCAGCUCGUGACUGCCCUGAGUACCAGAAGCAGUUGUAACACACUGCACGUCUGCCACCACCUUACAGACUCCGGGAAGCACAAGUCACCAUCUUAAACAACACCAGGUGUAAUUACCUGUUUGAACAGCCCUCUAGCCGUGGUAUGAUCCAGGAUUCCAUGUUUUGUGCUGGUGCUGAAG